rnacentral:rRNA from 1 species
UACGGGAGGCAGCAGUGGGGAAUAUUGCACAAUGGGCGCAAGCCUGAUGCAGCCAUGCCGCGUGUAUGAAGAAGGCCUUCGGGUUGUAAAGUACUUUCAGUCGUGAGGAAGGUGUUAAGGUUAAUAACCUUAGCAAUUGACGUUAGCAACAGAAGAAGCACCGGCUAACUCCGUGCCAGCAGCCGCGGUAAUACGGAGGGUGCGAGCGUUAAUCGGAAUUACUGGGCGUAAAGGGCACGCAGGCGGUUAAUUAAGUUGGAUGUGAAAUCCCCGGGCUUAACCUGGGAAUGGCAUUCAAGACUGGUUAGCUAGAGUCUUGUAGAGGGGGUAGAAUUCCAUGUGUAGCGGUGAAAUGCGUAGAGAUGUGGAGGAAUACCGGUGGCGAAGGCGGCCCCUGGGACAAAGACUGACGCUCAUGUGCGAAAGCGUGGGGAGCGAAACAGGGAUUUAGA